rnacentral:rRNA from 1 species
UGAACGGGUGAGGAACACGUGAAGAAUCUGCCCUCCACUUGGGAUAACACCGGGAAACCGGUGCUAAUACUGAAUAUGAAACAUAAGUGGCAUCACUGAGUUUUGAAAGAAUUUCGGUGGAGGAUGACUUCGCGGCCUAUCAGCUAGUUGGUGAGGUAAUGGCUCACCAAGGCAACGACGGGUAGCCGGCCUGAGAGGGCGACCGGCCACACUGGGACUGAGACACGGCCCAGACUCCUACGGGAGGCAGCAGUGGGGAAUAUUGGGCAAUGGAGGAAACUCUGACCCAGCGACGCCGCGUGCGGGAUGAAGGCCUUCGGGUUGUAAACCGCUUUCAGUAGGGAAGAAGCGAAAGUGACGGUACCUACAAAAGAAGCACCGGCUAACUAUGUGCCAGCAGCCGCGGUAAUACAUAGGGUGCAAGCGUUGUCCGGAAUUAUUGGGCGUAAAGAGCUCGUAGGUCGUUUGUUACGUCGGAUGUGAAAACCUGAGGCUCAACCUCAGGCCUGCAUUCGAUACGGGCAAACUAGAGUUUGGUAGGGGAGACUGGAAUUCCUGGUGUAGCGGUGGAAUGCGCAGAUAUCAGGAGGAACACCAAUGGCGAAGGCAGGUCUCUGGGCCAAUACUGACACUGAGGAGCGAAAGUCUGGGGAGCGAACAGGAUUAGAUACCCUGGUAGUCCAGACCGUAAACGGUGGGCACUAGUUGUGGGAACCUUCCACGGUUUCUGCGACGCAGCUAACGCAUUAAGUGCCCCGCCUGGGGAGUACGAUCGCAAGAUUAAAACUCAAAGGAAUUGACGGGGCCCCGCACAAGCAGCGGAGCAUGCGGCUCAAUUCGACGCAACGCGAAGAACCUUACCAAGGCUUGACAUAUAGGGAAAAGUGACAGAGAUGUCAUGUCCGCAAGGGCUCUAUACAGGUGGUGCAUGGUUGUCGUCAGCUCGUGUCGUGAGAUGUUGGGUUAAGUCCCGCAACGAGCGCAACCCUCGUUCUGUGUUGCCAGCAUUUAGUUGGGGACUCACAGGAGACUGCGGGGUUAACUCGGAGGAAGGUGGGGAUGACGUCAAGUCAUCAUGCCCCUUACAUCCUGGGCUACACACGUACUACAAUGCUACGGACA